rnacentral:rRNA from 1 species
UACAGAGGUCUCAAGCGUUGUUCGGAUUCAUUGGGCGUAAAGGGUGCGUAGGCGGCGCGGUAAGUCGGGUGUGAAAUCUCGGAGCUUAACUCCGAAACUGCAUUCGAUACUGCUGUGCUUGAGGACUGGAGAGGAGACUGGAAUUUACGGUGUAGCGGUGAAAUGCGUAGAUAUCGUAAGGAAGACCAGUGGCGAAGGCGGGUCUCUGGACAGUUCCUGACGCUGAGGCGCGAAGGUCAGGGGAGCAAACGGG